rnacentral:rRNA from 1 species
GACGAACGCUGGCGGCGUGCUUAACACAUGCAAGUCGAACGGUGAAGCCCCACCUUGCUGGAGUGGUUCAGUGGCGAACGGGUGAGUAACACGUGAGUAACCUGCCCCUGACUUUGGAAUAACCUCUGAAACCUCGUCCUAAUCCGGGUACGGGACUGGUGCGCCUGGGCGCUUUUUGGAAAGUUUCUGCGGUUGGGGAUGGACUCGCGGCUUAUCAGCUUGUUGGUGGGGUAUUGGCUUACCAAGGCUCGGACGGGUAGCCGGCCUGAGAGGGUGACCGGCCACACUGGGACUGAGAUACGGCCCAGACUCCUACGGGAGGCAGCAGUGGGGAAUAUUGCACAAUGGGCGGAAGCCUGAUGCAGCGACGCCGCGUGAGGGAUGACGGCCUUCGGGUUGUAAACCUCUUUCGGCAGGGAAGAAGCGAGAGUGACGGUAACGGGAGAAGAAGCACCGGCUAACUACGUG